rnacentral:rRNA from 1 species
GACGAACGCUGGCGGCGUGCCUAAUACAUGCAAGUCGAGCGAGCGGAACCAACAGAUUUACUUCGGUAAUGACGUUGGGAAAGCGAGCGGCGGAUGGGUGAGUAACACGUGGGGAACCUGCCCCUAAGUCUGGGAUACCAUUUGGAAACAGGUGCUAAUACCGGAUAAUAAAGCAGAUCGCAUGAUCAGCUUUUGAAAGGCGGCGUAAGCUGUCGCUAAGGGAUGGCCCCGCGGUGCAUUAGCUAGUUGGUAAGGUAACGGCUUACCAAGGCGACGAUGCAUAGCCGAGUUGAGAGACUGAUCGGCCACAUUGGGACUGAGACACGGCCCAAACUCCUACGGGAGGCAGCAGUAGGGAAUCUUCCACAAUGGACGCAAGUCUGAUGGAGCAACGCCGCGUGAGUGAAGAAGGUUUUCGGAUCGUAAAGCUCUGUUGUUGGUGAAGAAGGAUAGAGGCAGUAACUGGCCUUUAUUUGACGGUAAUCAACCAGAAAGUCACGGCUAACUACGUGCCAGCAGCCGCGGUAAUACGUAGGUGGCAAGCGUUGUCCGGAUUUAUUGGGCGUAAAGCGAGCGCAGGCGGAAAAAUAAGUCUAAUGUGAAAGCCCUCGGCUUAACCGAGGAACUGCAUCGGAAACUGUUUUUCUUGAGUGCAGAAGAGGAGAGUGGAACUCCAUGUGUAGCGGUGGAAUGCGUAGAUAUAUGGAAGAACACCAGUGGCGAAGGCGGCUCUCUGGUCUGCAACUGACGCUGAGGCUAGAAAGCAUGGGUAGCGAACAGG